rnacentral:rRNA from 1 species
AACGAACGCUGGCGGCAUGCCUAACACAUGCAAGUCGAACGAGACCUUCGGGUCUAGUGGCGCACGGGUGCGUAACGCGUGGGAAUCUACCCUUGGGUUCGGAAUAACAGUUAGAAAUGACUGCUAAUACCGGAUGAUGACGUAAGUCCAAAGAUUUAUCGCCCAAGGAUGGGCCCGCGUAAGAUUAGCUUGUUGGUGGGGUAAUGGCCUACCAAGGCGACGAUCUUUAGCUGGUCUGAGAGGAUGAUCAGCCACACUGGGACUGAGACACGGCCCAGACUCCUACGGGAGGCAGCAGUGGGGAAUAUUGGACAAUGGGCGAAAGCCUGAUCCAGCAAUGCCGCGUGAGUGAUGAAGGCCUUAAGGUUGUAAAGCUCUUUUACCGGGGAUGAUAAUGACAGUACCUGGAGAAUAAGCUCCGGCUAACUCCGUGCCAGCCGCCGCAGUAA